AGCGAACGCUGGCGGCAGGCCUAACACAUGCGAGUCGAACGAACCUUUCGGGGUUAGUGGCGGACGGGUGAGUAACACGUGGGAACGUGCCUUUAGGUUCGGAAUAACUCAGGGAAACUUGUGCUAAUACCGAAUGUGCCCUUCGGGGGAAAGAUUAAUCGCCUUUAGAGCGGCCCGCGUCUGAUUAGCUAGUUGGUUGAGGUAAUGGCUCACCAAGGCGACGAUCAGUAGCUGGUCUGAGAGGAUGAUCAGCCACAUUGGGGCUGAGACACGGCCCAAACUCCUACGGGAGGCAGCAGUGGGGAAUCUUGCGCAAUGGGCGAAAGCCUGACGCAGCCAUGCCGCGUGAAUGAUGAAGGUCUUAGGAUUGUAAAAUUCUUUCACCGGGGACGAUAAUGACGGUACCCGGAGAAGAAGCCCCGGCUAACUUCGUG
rnacentral:rRNA from 1 species